rnacentral:lncRNA from 1 species
UUUAAAAAUAGGGUGAAAGUAACUGAAAGCAGUGGACUCAUUUGCUUGUUUUCUUAAAUUAAGCUUAUGUGACUCACCCAUUUUCUGUCUUGGUGUAGGAACUUAGUGAUUUGGCCCGUGACCCUCCAGCACAAUGUUCUGCAGGUCCAGUUGGGGAUGAUAUGUUUCAUUGGCAAGCCACAAUUAUGGGACCUAAUGACAGCCCAUAUCAAGGCGGUGUAUUCUUUUUGACAAUUCAUUUUCCUACAGACUACCCCUUCAAACCACCUAAGGCAAGUAUUUUCCCUCAAAAUCUGUUAGUAUAGAUUUAUGCUUUAUUUCAAAGGAAUAGAGCAUUCUUGGAAGAUAGGGUUCUGUGUAGGCUGUAUAUAUAUGUUGAAUUGCACUCAUGUAUAGAUGCUGACUCUUAACCUUUGGUUUAAAGAGCUAGACCUCAGUUUGAGCUUUGUAAAUAGGAAUAAGGUUUGCCUUUUCUUUAAUGUUG